UGAAUACGAGAUGCUACGGCGUCGAAGCAGUCUAUGUCAUACUUCCAAGAAAAGCUCGCACUGUCAUAAACAAAUAAUGCCUGUACCAUAACCGACACAGGUGGGUAGGUAGAGUAUACUAAGGGGCGCGAGAUAACUCUCUCUAAGGAACUCGGCAAAAUGACUCCGUAACUUAGGGAGAAGGAGUGCCUUAUUUAUAAGGUUGCAAUAACAAGAUCCAAGCAACUGUUUAUCAAAAACACAGGUCUCCGCUAAGUCGUAAGACGAUGUAUGGGGGCUGACGCCUGCCCAGUGCCAGAAGGUUAAAGAAGUUGGUUAGCAUUCGCGAAGCUGAUAACUGAAGCCCUGGUGAACGGCGGCCGUAACGAUAACGGUCCUAAGGUAGCGAAAUUCCUUGUCGGGUAAGUUCCGACCCGCACGAAAGGCGUAAUGAUUUGGAUACUGUCUCGGAGAGGGGCUCGGUGAAAUAGACUUGUCUGUGAAGAUGCGGACUACCUGCACCAGGACAGAAAGACCCUAUGAAGCUUUACUGUAACUUGAGAUUGAAAUUGGACUUUACUUGCGCAGUAUAGGUGGGAGGCGUUGAUAAUAUUCUUGCGGGAUUAUUUGAGCCAUCAGUGAGAUACCACUCUUGUAAUGUUAGAUUUCUAACUUUGUAUCAUUAUCUGGUCAAAGGACAGUUUCAGGCGGGCAGUUUGACUGGGGCGGUCGCCUCCUAAACGGUAACGGAGGCGCACAAAGGUUUCCUCUGAACGGGUAGAAAUCGUAUCUAGAGUGUAAAGGCAUAAGGAAGCUUGACUGUGAGACCUACAAGUCGAGCAGGGACGAAAGUCGGUCUUAGUGAUCUGACGGUGCUGAGUGGAAAGGCCGUCACUCAACGGAUAAAAGUUACUCUAGGAUAACAGGCUGAUCUCCCCCAAGAGUUCACAUCGACGGGGAGGUUUGGCACCUCGAUGUCGGCUCAUCGCAUCCUGGGGCGGUAGUACGUCCCAAGGGUUGGGCUGUUCGCCCAUGAAAGCGGUACGCGAGCUGGGUUCAGAACGUCGUGAGACAGUUCGGUCCAUAUCCGGUGUAGGCGUUAGAAUAUUGAGAGGAGCCUUCUUUAGUACGAGAGGACCGAGAAGGACAUACCUCUGGUGUACCAGUUAUCGUGCCAACGGUAAACGCUGGGUAGCUAUGUAUGGAGUGGAUAGCCGCUGAAAGCAUCUAAGUGGGAAGCCCACCUCAAGAUAGGUAUUCUC
rnacentral:rRNA from 1 species